rnacentral:tRNA from 1 species
GAGCCAACAGUUUUGCUGCAAGUUGAAGAAAUAUUAGGUGACAUUGAAGUAUUGCACCCAAAGCUCAAUUAUUCAACCGAAUAAAGAGGAACCAUUAGCACAGUUAAGAAAACAGCAUUUUCCAUUUGACACCUGUCUUGAUAUUACUCAAUGAAAAUCUCCAAAGUAUGAUUUUCCUAGAUUAUACAACUAACUCUUGUUACCUGGACACAGGUUCAAUAAUGAUAAGGUACUUUCAACUUUCCUUGUCAGCCAGUACAGAUGUUAACUCAGAAGCUUUAUUAGAGAACAGCCAUUCAGAGAAUACCUAUUGACAGUACAGGAUACAGAGCAACUCGCUUUUCUAAUUUGAUUACAUUGGGUCAGUCUGUAAUAAGAAUGGAGUAAUACACAUAAUCUUAAACAUCAAUGGUUGAUUCUAUAUUCCCUUAAAACCAUCUCCCUUCUCUCUUCUUCUUCUUUUUUAUUUAUUUAUUUAUUUUUUUUAGUAAACUCUAUGCCCAGCAUAAAGCUUGAACUCAUGACCGUGAUAUCAAGAGUCACAGACUUUACUGACUGAGCCAGCUAAGCACCUCCUCCCUCCUUUCUUUAUUAAGUCCCCCUUUCAGCUCUAUUUUAAACUUCCACCCAGGAUUUCUCAAGUGCCUCUGUAUGACUAUUCUGUAGCAGCCUUCAGUUUGUUGACUUCUACACCCACAUUAAUCCUGGGCCUCUAGCUCCUUGAAGAAUGAUAGCAUUAAAUUUGUAAAGUAGGUUGGUCCCUAAACUCUCUUUUAAUGUGUCUGUCCAGUUGUAAUCUGUGCAUAUAACCAUAGAGUUAGUUAGUUUUCCUCAAAGUCUAGGAAAAUUGUAUUUUGCUUUCAUAAUCCAAACUGAGAAUAAAAAAAAAUACAUUCUAUUAAAAUAAUUUGUGUUACUCUGACCUAUCAGUAUUUUUUCCCACUCUCCAUAUGUUUUUGCAUCUGCUUUUUUUGGAGCAAGUCUGUUUUUCUUCAGUUAUGACAAGUUGUUUAUUUUGAAAAACAUAGGCACACUCUAUAACAUUUUCUACUAUCUAGUUUUAUAUGCUUAAAUUUUUACUAGUGUGUUCUUUUUCUGUAUUUUUAAGACACAUACCUGUAAUGGAAUGUAUUUGAAUGCAGAGAAGGAAACCCUCCCUUCUCUAUUUAAGACAGUCCAGAUGUAACUAUGUAAUUUCUUUUUUCCUUGCAUGUAUCUGCCUUCUUCUGUCAUUAGGUCAUAUAUGAAAAUUUUGUUUAAUUUUGUUUCUUGAGCUCAGUUCUGGUAAAAGAUUGGCAAAAGGUAGAUUAAAAUAUGUAAACAUUAAAUAACUUUUUAAGUGUUGGGACGCCUGAGUGGCUCAACGGUUGAGCAUGUGCCUUCAGCCCAGGGCAUGGUCCUGGGGGCCCGAGAUCGAGUCCCACAUUGGGCUUCCUGCAUGGAGCUUGCUUCUCUCUCUGCCUCUGUCUCUCUCUCUGUGUGUGUCUCUCAUGAAUAAAUAAAUAAAAUCUUAAAAAAAAAAAAAACUUUUAAAGAGUAUGAAUAAAUUUCAUUCUCCUUGUAUCCUUUCAGAGUAUGCAUCAUUUUAUUGGCCAUGAACAUUUAUUCAAUAUUUGUAGCCUUUCUUAUUAAUCACUAAAAUUAUUUUAUAGGCCAAAAGAUAAUAUAAAAAGGUCUGCUCUGGUUUUUGGCCAUCCUUAUAAUAGCAGCUUCAUUUAUUGAUCAUACUUCAAAGUAAAAUAAUAGAUUAAAAGCAUAAUGUGACAUAAAAUUGUAUACCAAAAUUGAACAUUCAUUUAUUCAAAAUAAUUAAUAGCUUUUUAUUUGUUAUCUAUAAUGCACC